rnacentral:rRNA from 1 species
UACGGAGGAUCCAAGCGUUAUCCGGAUUUAUUGGGUUUAGAGGGUGCGUAGGCGGCUUAUUAAGUCAGGGGUGAAAGACGGUGGCUCAACCAUCGCAGUGCCCUUGAUACUGAUGAGCUUGAAUACACUUGAGGUAGGCGGAAUGUGACAAGUAGCGGUGAAAUGCAUAGAUAUGUCACAGAACACCAAUUGCGAAGGCAGCUUACUAAGGUGCAAUUGACGCUGAGGCACGAAAGCGUGGGGAUCAAACAGG